AGAGAUUAAUUGGAAAAGUAAAUACUUGUAGAAAACUAAUUGGCAUUCCCUUGACAAAAUGUAAUGGAUUCAAGCAUUGGUCAGUGUUAGCUCUUAUCCUGGUAUGAAGAAUUAAUGUGAUUGCAAUGACCACACUGCUGCUGAGUCUGAAGUCUGCAGGCCAAGAGGGUUACAAUUUGGUUCCUCCUCACCCAUGUCUCAGGAGACCAUUUAGUAAAAAGUUGAAGAAUAUGACAUUCCCAUGUUCUUCCAAAACAAAAAAGGCUUGAGUGACUGGUACAAAGUGUGGCUUUUCCCGCCCUCCUCUUUCUUAGGGCUUUCCCCAUGUCUGGUUCCUGCAGUUACAGUGAGAUAUGAAAAAGGCAUCUGCAGGGAUCUGGGUCAGGCCUAUAUCAGGAAAGGCCCCCAGAGCAUCAGGUUGGACAGAGACUCCAGAAAACUGAAUGACCCCAGCCUGAUCAGCCCAUCACUACCCACACUCUGGCAGCUUCACCCCACUACUCCCCAAGGCCUUGUAUGCAUCAGGGCCUCCUGACAUGUGCUUCUGAACUCGCAACAAAAGCUGUUCAGGGCUGGGAGCGGUGGCUCACACAUGUAAUCCCAUCACUGCAGGAGGCCGAGGCCGGUGGAUAGCUUCAGGUCAGGAGUUCGAAACCAGCCUGGCCAACAUGGCAAACUGCCGUCUCUACUAAAAAUACAAAAAUUAGCCAGGCAUGGUGGCAAGUGCCUAUAAUCCCAGCUAUUCAGGAGGUUGAGGCAGGAGAAUCGCUUGAACCUGACCUGGGAGGCAGAGGUUGCAGUAAGCCAAGAUCACUCCACCGCAUUCUAGCCUGGGUGACAAAGCAAGACUCCAUCCAAAAAAAGAAAAAGAAAAAAAAAAUCAGGGUUGUUGACUUGGGACUCUAUAUAUUUUUUUUACUAAUACAUAAUAUUUGUACAUGUGAGAUUUUGAUUCAUGCAUACAAUGUAUAAUAAUCAAAUCAGGGUACUUAGGAUAUCCAUCACUUUGAACAUUUGUCAUUUCUUUGUAUUGAGAACAUGUCAAAUCUUCUCUACAUUUUAAUAAGUUCCUCAAUGAUUCUUAAGGAGCAAAAAUAGUUUGAGAGACACGGUGCUAAGGAUUAGGAGUGGUUAGAGACAAGACAGAAGUGACCUCAAAUGGGAAGAUUCCCUUACAAAUGAAUGCAAUGUAUUCCAAUUAUUAGGGCUGAUUAUGUUCCACCAAGUCACUAUGGACAAUGAAUUAGCAAACACUGAGCCAUGGCUCCUAGGUAAAAUACAGGGUUAGGUUACUGCAAGCCUCUGCUCAUAACAUUUUAAUCAACGAAUAAAAACAUAACCUU
rnacentral:lncRNA from 1 species